GAGAAAAUAUUUAUUGAAUUUGGAUUACAUGGGGGCGAAAAAUUUAAAUUUGGAACUACGUAGUAAAAAAAUUUCAACAGCAUACUUCUCACAAUAAUGGACUGACUCUAUGAGCAAUGACUACAAAAUGCACCGCUGAUGAUGGAGAUUGCCGUAAACUGAGGUUCUCCUGAAACCUAAGAGUCUGUGAGCCUUGCUCUUGACCUUAGAUACGAUUAGAAUCAAUAGCAAUGCUUUCUUCUUCUUGUUCUUCUUUAAGAAAUUAAUUGACGCGAACAAUAAAUCUCAUAACCUCUGAUUGAGAAAGCUUUGAAGUUGUUAUGAUAAUAUAAUUUUUGCAUUUUUCAAUUGAGGAUACCCUGAACUCAUAUUUGAUUGAAGUUAGUUAGUUAAUCAAUUAGGGAAAUGUGAUAUUAAUUUUACCAUUUAUAUAAAACGCAUCUAAAUAAAGUUUUAAGAGUGUAAUGCAUUCACAAAAUUAAAAGAUGUAGAAAGUGAUGAUGAUGUGACUCAAAGCCAAGAUCAUUUUCAAUGAAUCUGAAAGUUGAAGCAACAAUUUCAUUAAAUAUUUUUUACUGUCAAAGAUGAUCAGCAUAUGCUACUAGAUGAUUCUGUUGCUUUAAAGUCAUUUCCAAGUAAAGUCGUUUCCAAGAUAACCAAACACAUUAUUGUCUCUCUGCGUCGCAUCUUAAUUGGACAUUUCAAACUGUAGACCUAUUAACAAUGAGAAUAAAGGCAUUUUAAUAAUGAUUAGGUUAGGUGUACGACGAGUAUGUGGAAAAACAUGAACUCAUUGAUUAACUCCAAUUUUAGGGUUUUAGUUUCCUUAAGAAGGUAGUACAACUAAAUGCAUUAGUUAACUAUUUUGUGUUGUUGAAUUAAAACUGCUUCAAUUCUUAGGCUCUUGUGGAUGAAUUUGAGUUUUCUCUAUUGGAAAUUCUACAAGAGCUUGAAUUGGUUCCCACAUCUAGAGAACUUGGAUUGAAUGGUAGUAAAAUUUUCUUAAUGCCAUACAUUUUGGAUUUUUAGUUAAUUAAUUAAUUUAUUUCUCCGAGGUUUGAGUGCUUUAAUUGAGAGUCAUGAAAGGUGUUUCGUCACUGACAAGAGUCUACACUUGUACAUCAGCUAUAUUGUGUAAACAUAGCGGCAUACAUCCUGCAACCCUGUCAAUUAAAUGGAAAGAGGUUAAAGAACUUGAAAGCAGAAUUUCCUGAUAAUAAUAAGGUUUCUCAUUUUUUGUACCUAUAAAUUUGUAGGAAGAAACUUUCCUAGAGAUAAAACUACUAUUCUGCAUGGGUGGAUGAAUUUUAUAUGGAUAUAUUUCAUAUGAAUAACUCAUGGAUGUGGUAGUAGAAGAGUUCUUCUAUUUUUCCCUGUGGUAGUUUUGCACUAAAUAGUAUUUUAUGAUAAAUCCCCAGCAGAGGAAAAUUGGAUUGUGUGCACAAAGGAUUGAAUCUGCUCUCAAUUUCAAACUAUAUACUAGAACAGUAAUGAGUGAUCUUUAUUGAUCUCAAUGAUAUGGAAACUUCCAAGGUUACAAUUUCAGGAAUGACAGAGUCAUAACUUUCAUCUUCUGCAAGACACAUUAUGUACUCUUGCUCUGUUCUUUUAAAAGAACAACUGCAACAACAUGUUCGUGUGCAUGCAAUGGAAGCAGUAAUGGCUUGCUGGGAGAUUGAGCAAUCCCUACAAAGCUUAACAGGUCAGAAAUUUCUUGGAGAGAUGCAAAAUAUGGUCAAAGAAUUCAAGAACUUACUUUUUUC